rnacentral:rRNA from 1 species
AGCAGCCGCGGUAAUUCCAGCUCCAAUAGCGUAUAUUAAAGUUGUUGCAGUUAAAAGCUCGUAGUUGAAUUUCGGGGUUAGUAGGUUGGUCGUGCCACUGGUACGUACUGGUCUCACUGAUUCCUCCUUCCUGAUGAACUGUAAUGCCAUUAAUUUGGUGUUGCAGGGAAACUGGACUGUUACUUUGAAAAAAUUAGAGUGUUUAAAGCAAGCUAACGCUUGAAUACAUUAGCAUGGAAUAAUGAAAUAGGACGUUCGAUCCUAUUUUGUUGGUUUCUAGGAUUGACGUAAUGAUUAAUAGGGAUAGUUGGGGGCAUUAGUAUUCAAUUGUCAGAGGUGAAAUUCUUGGAUUUAUUGAAGACUAACUACUGCGAAAGCAUUUGCCAAGGAUGUUUUCAUUAAUCAAGAACGAAAGUUAGGGGAUCGAAGACGAUCAGAUACCGUCGUAGUCUUAACCAUAAACUAUGCCGACUAGGGAUCGGAUGAUGUUAAUUUUUUAAUGACUCAUUCGGCGCCUUAC